AGACGGGCGGCCGCUCCGAUUAUUUCGGGGAGGAAAGUCCAGACACCACAGGGCAGGAAGCCCGGUUGAAAGACCGGGUAUCGCGGGGUAAACCCGCGGUCAGGAUAGCGCAACAGAGAAGAGACCGCCGGCAUUUUGUGUCGGCAAGGGUGAAAAAGGCGGGGUAAGAGCCCACCGCGGCAGCUCGCAAGGGUUGUCGGCUCGGCAAGCCCCUUCUGGUGCAAGACCAAAUAGGAAACGAGGCGCGGCCCGCGCCAUGCGCAAGCACAGUUUCGGGUAUCGGUCGCGUUAGAUGAAUGGUCGCCGGCCGCCUCUAGGGGCGGUGCACAGAAUCUGGCUUACAGUC
rnacentral:RNase_P_RNA from 1 species